UGAGGACUUACACCACUUGGAUGAAAGGAAGAAUCCAAGCCUUCGACAAUAUCGCCCUCGAAACUCUUCCAUGACCGAAACCUUAGUAUUUCUCAAAAAUUUGAUGACGGAUCCACCUUUUUUUUUCCAGCCCCCAAACCCUAUUUCUUGCUAGCCUUAGAUGAUGAGUUCAUUUAGAGAGAGAAAUAAACGGGAUGGAAG
rnacentral:misc_RNA from 1 species